UACAUGGGGUGCAAACGUUGCUCGGAAUUAUUGGGCGUAAAGCGCACGUAGGCGGUUCGUUAAGUCGGAUGUGAAAGCCCUCGGCUCAACUGAGGAAGUGCACCCGAAACUGGCGAGCUUGAGUACGAAAGAGGAUCGCGGAAUUCCCGGUGUAGAGGUGAAAUUCGUAGAUAUCAGGAGGAACACCGGUGGCGAAAGCGGCGCGCUGGAUCCCUACUGACGCUGAGGCACGAAAGCCAGGGGAGCAAACGGG
rnacentral:rRNA from 1 species